rnacentral:lncRNA from 1 species
UGUUGAGAUUCAGUUUUAUUUAUGCUACUAGCUAAGUAAAAAGCAUACAUAUUGUGUCUGUGGUACAGUCAAUACAUUUGCAACUUUUCUACUUAAAUUCUCUAUACAAAGUCACUGCCAAUUGAUAUGAUCAUUGAUGGCAAAGGGCUUAGAAUAACCAAAAGGUAUAAAAAAGUUUGCAGUCUUGCCCCAAGAUACAAAAACUGAAUUUUAAACAUUGGCAUAACAUACAUGAUUUAAACAGUAUACGAAAAAAAAAAAGUCACACAUCAAAUCAAGUACAAAAAUAUCCAAACUACCUAUCA